GACCGCUCUGGUGGCUUAGUGGUUAGAGCGUCGCCUUGGAUGCGGGAGAUCGUGGGUUCGAUCCCCAAUCGAGUCA